GACGAACGCUGGCGGCGUGCUUAACACAUGCAAGUCGAACGAUGAACCGGAGCUUGCUCCGGGGAUUAGUGGCGAACGGGUGAGUAACACGUGGGCAACCUGCCCCAGACACCGGGAUAACCUUCCGAAAGGAUGGCUAAUACCGGAUAUGACCACUUCGGGCAUCCGACGGUGGUGGAAAGGAUUCUGGUCUGGGAUGGGCCCGCGGCCUAUCAGCUUGUUGGUGGGGUAAUGGCCUACCAAGGCGACGACGGGUAGCCGGCCUGAGAGGGCGACCGGCCACACUGGGACUGAGACACGGCCCAGACUCCUACGGGAGGCAGCAGUGGGGGAAUAUUGCGCAAUGGGCGAAAGCCUGACGCAGCGACGCCGCGUGAGGGACGAAGGUCUUCGGAUUGUAAACUUCUUUCAGCAGGGACGAAGCGAAAGUGACUGUACCUGCAGAAGAAGCAACCGGCUAACUACGUGCCAGCAGCCGCGGUAAU
rnacentral:rRNA from 1 species